CUGCCAUUUGGUUGAUAUGCGUAUUAGCCUUUUAUUAUAUAGGAUGUGUUCUCUAGACCAUGAGCCCCUAUGGACAGGGACCAUGUCUGAUUCACUUCUGCACCCCCAGUUUGCCCAGUGCUUGGCACAGAUCAGGUGUCUAUUUGUGUUUGCAGAAUAAAUGCGCACCCAGGUCAAAGAAGAGGAAGACUGAGCAUGGUGUGUGCAAUGAACCUAAACGAAUGACUGCCAGCCUGAUCCAGCAGAAGGAGCAGGUAAGAACAAAGUGGUAGGAACUUACUUCUUUUAUUAUAAUUUAGUUUAACAGCCAUUUUUUGAGCAAAUAAGGAGGAUGCACAAUAAAUACCCCAGAAAUGAAUUAAAACAUCACCCCAUCCUCACAAAUUCUAGGUUCAGUAAGUAAAGGUUAGGAUCUUAAUAGUCCAUCUAAUAAUCAGAUAUUGAGCUUAUAGCUCUGGGAUGUUUUAUAGAAAUUAAAAUUUUAAAAAUCUUGGCGAGUAAGCCUUUAUCUUCAAAGGCCUUUUGGCAUUUUUACGUAGUGAAUUUCUAUAGGCUUACAAAGAAGAACCACACCCUGCCAGGGCUCUAAUCCCCCCUCAGCAUUAUUUCCCCCUACAUGCAAUGAAAAUGUCCAGGCGGUGAUUUUAAGGAGGAGGUCCCUGGGUAUGUAUGUCCUGAAUAAAGACCCUAGCACAGAGGUCAUAAUGCUUGCUGAGUAGAUUAAACAUAAUGAGAUGGUUUUAAUAAAGACACCGACUGAUUACCUGCUCCAGUCCCUUGAGGGACCAAGUUUUAAACUCUGAGCAGUGGGGGAACCAUAUCUCCAGAGUCCCUUUAAACUAGGUUGGGCACAGUCUCAGGGGAUGCUAUAGGGAGAGCAGAGAUGGGAAGGGCAGCAUGAGUUCAACCCCCACCAACUGCUGAUUUACAGUCUAGCAAGUCUCCUGGGGUUCUACUGAGCGUGCACAUCUGGAUUACAAACUGAAUGGUCCAAGAGAAACCUAAAGACAGCCAGCAGAGCUGGCAGUGAGAACACUGACUUUGGAUGGGCAUGUGGCACAACUCCUGUCUCACACUACCUCUGACUCCUGAGCUUGUGUGAGCCUUGAUGUACUAGGUGCUAUGUGGGUUGCUUCACAUUCUCUUGCACAGUUGCUCAUGAGGCUUAGAGAGGGGAGGAACACGCCCAGGGUCACAAAACCAAGAGCCUGAGCUUGGAGUUCACCCCAAGUCUGUAACACUGAACACUAUUUCUUAUGCCUACUUCAACUGCUUUGCAAGUUUUUUCCCCUUUGCUAAUAAGGCAGUAACUGUCUUCUUGUGAAGUAAGGGAGGAUUUCGGUUCUUUAAAUUAAUUUUUUUUUUACAAUAUACAAAAUAAAUCUUUUACCAGAUGGAUUUGGGUUCUUAAUG